GCAAGCGUUGUUCGGGAAUUAUUGGGCGUAAAGCGCGUGUAGGCGGUUUGUUAAGUCUGAUGUGAAAGCCCUGGGCUCAACCCAGGGAAGUGCAUUGGAAACUGGCAGACUUGAAUACGGGAGAGGGCAGUGGAAUUCCUGGUGUAGGAGUGAAAUCCGUAGAUAUCAGGAGGAACACCGGCGGCGAAGGCGGCUGCCUGGACCGAUAUUGACGCUGAGACGCGAAAGCGUGGGUAGC
rnacentral:rRNA from 1 species